rnacentral:lncRNA from 1 species
CUCUGACAAUGUUCUCAGUGAUGCACUGGAAAUUACUGUGUAAUGACAUCUACUAUGUAAGGAUCAGGAAACUUCAGAUAAAAAAAUCUGAAUGAGGUUGAGUGUUGAAGAAAGUGCCCAUAGCUCUCCUGUUUUAUUUCAGUUUCCUAUAAUUUUUAUACAAGAAUGUGUCUAAUCUUUAUAUAAAUAUCUUUAGCACACACAAAUCCCAUAUAUUUCCUGGUAUCUGAAUUGAGAUUGGACAUUUUUUCUAAAUCCUGUUUCAGAGCAUGACACUGAUUUUAUUGGGGAUUUUUUUUUUUUUUUUUUAAAGAUUGCUUUUGUGAAUUAUUGGGCUAUAAAGCAGAAGUAUAGCAUAAUACAUCUUCUCCUAUUUAUGGAUUCUACAGAUAUGACACUAUGUGUGUGACCUUGUUCUAAUAUUCCUAUUGUAACACAAAAUGUAAUCCCAAACACUAGAUAUACAUAAGAAAUUGCCCUGGCAGUCAUAGUUGAUUUCCUAAUGUCUAUUGUUUCUUUAUCAGAUGAGCACUUUAUUCCAGGUUUUAAAUCCCCUAGAUGGCACUACAGAAUACAGUAUUUAAAUUUUUUUUUUUUUUUUUUUUUUUUACAAUGCUGCUGAAUAGACAAUGUUAAAUAAUUUUUGUCUUGAAAAAUAAACAUUAACGAAUUGUUUAACAAAAUGAAAUAGAAGGCAAAGAAUUAGUUUAAUAAAUGCAGGAUAAUAUACAUGCUUGGUAUGUUGGCACGUCCUUAUGUACAAAAAGUGGAAUGGCACGCUAGACAUGUGCCAGAUCACAUACAACCCUUUCUGCUCGUGUGGUCCAGAUGGUAGCUGUCAGAUUCAAAUCCAGACUUGGGCCUCCAGGUCUGAAUUGGAAAAUAAGUGUAUUCUAUCCAAAGGGAUUAAAAAUCAGGAAAGAAAACAAGUGCUGUUGUUUUGGAUUAGAAACACACUCGGCAAUUGUAAGUGCUAAAAAUAUAUACUGCAAGGAGUUGUUUUUUGAGACCAGGAUAAUUCCUUUCAGAAAUAUUUGUUUCCUGGAGAUUGGAGGUGAAACCCUGGCCCCACUGACACUAGUGACAAAGUAAUUGAUGGCUUCAAAGGGUCCAAAAUAUUGUAAGUAUCAUCCUGAUCAACAUCAAGAUUUCAAAAAUUAAAACCAUUUAAUACUGACAUUUGACUGAAUGGUUUUUAUUCUAUUAUUACAAGCCCAAACUGCUAUUUUGUCUGACAUAGAUGUAGUAUAGCCAGUGGCACUGUUUAAUUUCAGCAUUCCCAUAUAGCCUAGACUUUGUCGCUCUCUCGCACUCCUCAGAAGUAAAGGGGACUGUGUGGAACAGAUGGCACCACCUGGACCACAGUUCAGAGUAUGUCCUGAUUUGUGAUAGAGUUAAAAUUCUGAAGGUUAUUCCUGAGUAGUUAAAAUCCUUACUGAGAGGAAAAUCACCUGAUGUUCUCCAAGCCUUAGAGUUGUCUCUGGAAAGAGUGAUGGUCUGCAAUCAACUGUA